UAUCUCUGUAGAGUCUGCAUAUCAAUAAGCGGAGGAAAAGAAACUAACAAGGAUUCCCUUAGUAACGGCGAGUGAAGCGGGAAGAGCUCAAAUUUGAAAUCUUCAAGGUUUUACCUUGACGAAUUGUAGUUUAAAGAAGUGUUUUCUGUUGGAGUUUCGGUAAAAGUUCUUUGGAAUAGGACAUCAUAGAGGGUGAGAAUCCCGUAUUUGACCAUUAUUUUCAGCUGUGUGAUACACUUUCAAAGAGUUGGAUUGUUAGGGAAUGCAGUCCAAAAUGGGUGGUAAAUUUCAUCUAAAGCUAAAUAUUGGCGAGAGACCGAUAGCGAACAAGUACCGUGAGGGAAAGAUGAAAAGAACUUUGAAAAGAGAGUUAAACAGUACGUGAAAUUGUCAAAAGGGAAGCGUUUGACACCAGUGUUGUUUUCUCGAAAAUCAAUUAAAAAUGGCUGAUUUUGUGUUGUAUUGACCUUAAAAGCUUUCUUCACUUUUUUCAUGUCUUUUUUAAUGCACUUUUCGUUUAACAAGUCAACAUCAGUUUCUUUUGUUGUAAAAAGGUCAUUGGAAGGUGGCUUUCUUUUCGGAGAAAGUGUUUAUAGCCUUUGACUCCUGCAAUCGGAGAGACUGAGGUCUGCAGCGUAGAUCCUUCUUGGAUUAGAUUCAUUUGUGCUAAGUUAUAGCUUUUCAUAGACAACUUGUUGACUAUGUUUUAGUCAUUGUAGCUUACUCGCUUAUGUAAUUUUACCUACGCUUAGGAUGUUGAUCUCUCACAGUCGAGC
rnacentral:rRNA from 1 species